GACGAACGCUGGCGGCGUGCUUAACACAUGCAAGUCGAACGGUGAAGGGACCGGUUUUUGCUGGUUCUGGAUGAGUGGCGAACGGGUGAGUAACACGUGAGUAACCUGCCCCCUUCUUCUGGAUAACCGCAUGAAAGUGUGGCUAAUACGGGAUAUUCUGCGCCUGCUGCAUGGUGGGUGUGGGAAAGAUAUUGUUUCGGUGGGGGAUGGGCUCGCGGCCUAUCAGCUUGUUGGUGGGGUGAUGGCCUACCAAGGCGGUGACGGGUAGCCGGCCUGGGAGGGUGGACGGUCACACUGGGACUGAGACACGGCCCAGACUCCUACGGGAGGCAGCAGUGGGGAAUAGUGCACAAUGGGCGCAAGCAUGAUGCAGCGACGCCGCGUGAGGGAUGGAGGCCUGCGGGUUGUAAACCUCUUUCGCCAGUGAAGCAGGCCUGUCCCUUUUGUGGGUGGGUUGACGGUAGCUGGAUAAGAAGCGCCGGCUAACUACGUG
rnacentral:rRNA from 1 species